rnacentral:lncRNA from 1 species
AGCCACCUCUAAGAAAGCUCAGAUCUGUACCCAUGGUCAUGUUUUUGUGGGUCCUCAUGCAAGGGGGUGGGACUGGAUAGAUUUUGGGGGCAAGGGCUCAGCUGGGGUUUGUCUUUCUCGAUUGCAACUGGUGAUAGAGGCAAGGAAGGUGGGAGUAGGGAAGGGGCUUGGGGAGGAGAAGAUGGCGGAGACUGUGGAGGUGUGAGGGAGGGAGUGGGUGGCUGGUAGGUGGUAUGUGUGGGAAAAGGGGGAACUCUCUGCAUAAGCUCUCUCAUCAGAAUUUUCAGUUGUACGAAUGGGAAGCAUCUAUAUACUUAAAGAGAGAGAACAUUUGAUUUAUCUACUGUUAUAGACAGAGCAUUUGAUUAUCGAACUCUUGUAGAGAGUGAAAUUUUUAGAGAGAGAGAUCGAGAGAUCGAGAGAGGAUGCUGUGUCUCCCAGGAUGAUAAGGAAUGGUGGCAACAUCUUCAAUCUACUCGAUUGUUCAUUCUCACAUCUCUCUGCAACUCCUUUUAGUGAAUCCUAAUAGAUGCCGUUGCAUAAAUGCUCCUAAUGCUCCUUUUCAAGUGUUCAGAUGAUUAACUAUGAAUACGUGAGGUCCCAUAAAUUUGGUAAAUUUCAUGAUUAUUAUUAGGUAGAUAUGUCUAUAACUUUUGUACAUGUCCUUAUUUGAUUGCAUGAUCUCUCUCUCUCUCUGUGGUCAUUAGAAGAACACACAUAGAUCCAUGGCUAUAUGCUCUGUGAUAGAGAAGCGAAGUUUCUUCAGUCAUUAAUCUCGGUUACAUGUUGCCUACAAAAUGAAAAAACGAAUCAUUAGAAGAGUAUUUUCGGGAACUAAAAUCUUUUGGCUAAUGGGAAUGGUAGUAGUCAACCAACACGAAUGUUUAAGGCAUCUCAUUGGCUGGAAUAAACCCAACCUUGGAUAUGAGGAUGCCAUUGGUUCGUUCAAACUUGAGAGAUGCAGCAACAAAUCCACAUUGCCCAAUAGACCAUUCAAACUUUGAAUAUGAUUGUUUAGGUAAAUGGUGGGAUUCAAGUCCCAAUUGUUUUGGGCCAAGUUUGCCUCAUUCAAAAUGUCAACUGCAAGAGGGUUUAAAUAGAAGCAGCCCAACGAUAUACCACCAAACAGGUAGGUCAAUUGCAUGAAGCACACAAACAAUACGGUACAUAAUAAAAAAUUUCCUUGUAGUGCCCAAAACCUUUUGUAAAACAAGAAAUUGUCCAAAGUGUAGUACCAGACGAGUAUGCUAUGACAAGAAUAUUGCACAUGUCAAAAUUAAUGAACUUGUAGCAUAGUGCAAUGCAAAAAGUAGUGCUAAAACGGGAUAGUAUACAAACAAGAAGAUUUCUAUGCUACCAUCAUGCAUAGAUUGAUGCAUCAGAAUAGUGCACUAAUACAUCAAUAACACAAGGUGAUAUAGGUAACAACAUUGAUGAAGGGGAAUGGUGUGCCACGCGGAGUAUGACAGACAAACAAUAUGAUAUGUAGACAAGAAGCACUCAGUCAACAUAUUACCAAGGAAAAUGAGUCAACGAUAGAGAAAGAGACAAGAAGACGGGAUAUGAUAUACUUGGAGGCUAUGGGUGGCAAUCACAUCCGUUCGACCUGACACGGGUCCAUGUCUGGACCCAAAUAUUGGACCUGGUGUGUCGGGUCCUAGUUCUUAUGACCUCGAUCUGACCUGGGACAGGUUUGGGUCUGGGUCUGGGUCUGGGUCCAUGUCUGGACCCAAAUAUUGGACCUGGUGUGUCGGGUCCUAGUUCUUAUGACCUCGAUCUGACCUGGGACAGGUCUGGGUCUGGGUCUGGGUCCAUCUUGGGUCAGGUUAAGUGCGGGUCAUGGUCGGCAAUAUAUAAUAUGUAUGUAUAUAUGCAUCAUUGUUUGUGUAUCAUAAAAUAUUUAUAAUAAAAUUUAUUUGUUCUUUUAUCUAGAUCUGGACCCAUUAGCACCACAGUUGGAGGGGAAGGGAUGAUAGAAAUGGUAGCAAAGAAUGGAUGACACA